UCUGCCACCCACUUCACCACACUGUGGGGGUGAAUCGGCCUCCCGGACCCACUAGUCGUCGGCAUUCCUGUGGAGGUCGGCGCCAGUUCAUUUCGCGUUUCUCCUUCUGCACUCUCUAGGGUUAGCUUCUCUCCUAGCACAGAUCUCAGAUCCAAUGGAGUCUCCCCUCCCGUUCCUUCGGCAAUCGAUUCGUCCUAAUUGCUCCUGGAUCCGGCGAUUUCGCGCGGUGGGAACCAUAGAUCGGAGGUGGGGAGGCUAGUUGCGCCUCCACUGGCCGCAUGCCUCACGCCGCCGCUCGAAUCGAUGGAUGUCAAGACCCGCGUCGUCGUCGUCGUCCUCCGCCUGCCGGUAAGAGACGCCUCUCAAUCCGUUCUUCCUGCUAUCGUUUGCCAGUUGUUGGUGCUGGUCGGGGUGGGCCUGAAUCAGACGGAGCCCAACCAGUGUGUGGAUUUUGCGAUUGGGAUUGCCUUCGGGGUGAGAUUUAGGGAAUUUGAUGCGCGAUCCUCGCCGGCAUCAGGGAUUACACGCCGCCUACGGAAGAUCUCCCUCUGUCAGUCACUCUCCUUUUUCCUCUUAUUCAUUCUUCCUCGGGGUUUGAAUCUAGAGGCUAGUUUCGACUCUUGUUAAAUUUCCUACGCUACAUAUUUGGAUUGGGCAUUUUGGUUCUGUUGCAAUGACGAUAGUGGAGCAGGAACAUAACAGCUUUCACGAUUUGAAUCAGUGAUCACUGAUGCAUAUUUGGGUUUCAUGAUGAUUAAUGAAUGACUUUUGAUACUUUAGAGCACUGCAAUUGUAUGCACCAUUGUUUCUGCUCUGCUGCAAAAAUAGUAUGUAACGGUAGCUGUUCUGCCAUGUUUUCAGCGGAAGCAGUACUUCAUGAAUUCAUUACUUAUAGCUUUGGUGUUGUUUAUGGGGACCUAAGCACAUCACCUUUCUAUGCUUAUAAAAGUAUAUUCUGUGGAAAGCUCCGUCAAUACUCAAUACGAAGAUGGAGAAAUUGCAAUCAGUGUACUUUCCUUCAUAUUUUGGACAUUCACUCUUAUUAGAGUGCAUGACAUCUUGCAUGUGCAUCAUCCUAUAUGGUUCCAACCUAUGUUUUUGGCAUGUCAUUAGUGUAAACUGUAAGCUACUUGCCCCCUCGGAUUAUUUGGUUUUCACCCAUUUACACAAUGUUUCAGAGUGGCCUUUUUUUGUUCAUGUCUGAUCUAUGCAUGAGCAAAUGUGAUAAUUAGAAGUAAUAUUCUCAUUUAGGAACAAUGUUAUUCUUUGUUAGCAAAGUACUAUUCUCAGUUAGGCAAAGUACUAUUGUCAGUUAGCAAUGUUCUAUUCUUAGAUGGGCAAAGUAGUGUUUUUAGUCUGGCAAAGUACUGCUAUUAGCUAGGCAAAGUAUAUUGUGCUUCAGUUUAUUUUAGUAGGCAAAGUAUUAUUCCUGGAUAUAGCAGCAGUUGCUUCCUGUGUUGUUUAGGCUAAGAUAAGCUUUGUUUUUUAUGGAUAUGAUUUUGAUCCACUGGCAAAUUGAUUCGCUUCGUAUUAAUUUUUGUGCAAUUAGUGUUUAGAGGGACUAAUCAUGUGGCUCCAUCCAGAGGAUUUACUUGUAUCAGAACUUCACUUUAGCUAAGGUCCCCACCUCCAUGCUAUGUUCCUCUUGUUCUAUUUUUUGCCAUGAUGAGCCCAGAUAUUUUAUCUUGUAGUCAACAUAAGCUAAAUCAACUAGCAAACUAUUCAUUUUAGUUUAUAAUGUUUGUGUUCUGAUUUAAGAAUUUUCAUUGACAGUGCCCACCAUGAGACACCAUGCUUUAUUCAGGCAGUUUAUAAUGCUCUCACUGGAGGUGAAUUUGGAGGGCUCCCAAGACCGCAAGAAGUGCAUGCCCAUGUUGGUGAUUUGUCUUCUCUAGUAUAGAGUUGGAUAGCUAGACCAGUAGCUUGAGGAAGUAGAGUUGACAAUUGAUAUUGAUAUUGAUGCAAAUGGUGUGUACAAGGACAACCCUGCAUGUAAAAAGUGGGGGUGAAGAAUUAUUUGAGUUGAAUACACGAAUGCUUUUUGUGUCAGAGAGGUAGGCAAUUUUUGGCAUAAACUUCUAAGCAUUUUAAUUGGAUUAGUUGUCAGAGAGUUGAAUACAAGCUAUUUAUUUUUUUUGGCUGGUUAUUUACUAUCGCUGGUGCUUACUGUGCUGUUCUUUAUCAUCUAUUUCUUGGAAGCUAUUUGAAAAAAAAAAGAGAAAGCAAAUAUUGUUAGGUGGUUUGCAAUUCCACAUCAACUUGAUUUUUUUCAGAUUAUUCUUAAACUGAUAUUGUUGCAUGUUCAUUUUCUCAUAAUUAUGUGUUAUGUGUUAGCAUUUUUUCAUAUUUUGGUGAGUUUUUUGCUAUUUUUGCUCAACUAAACAAUUUCAGAAGCAAAAAUUCAUUUUUAAUCUAGCAUUUUGUAUUCUAGUUGAGCAUUUUUGUACUGAUUCAAUUCUUUUGUUUGGUGCUUUGGUGCUUAGGUGUUAUAGCAAGCUCACACAAAUCUUGAUGGAGGGAUACCACUUUUUAAAUUUGGUGAUGGAGGAUGAUGACUGAAGACUUAUUUUUGUGAAUGUUUAGAAUUUAGAUGGCAAAAAAUACUUUUGUAUAUAUUCAUAUUUGCUUACAGCUUUUCAAAGCUUUGCUUGCGAUGUCCCCAAAAGUUGCUUUUUAUUA